AGCUUUGCACAGUGGCAGUAUCAUAGGCCAUGAGGUUUAUCUGAGGCACAGUUAUUGCUAAUUGAAAGUCCAAUUCUAGGUGGAGAUAGUUCUAAGUUUUGCCAGAGACUCAUUGCUGCCCUUUUGUAAGG
rnacentral:snRNA from 1 species